UCAACAACAUUGCAUACAGAAGAAACAGAGAGAGAGAGAGAGAAUCACCAAACCGAAGAAUGACGGAUGGACUUCACUGUGGUAUGAAGGUAAAAUAUAAAACGAAAUUAAAAAAAAAAGAGUGACCAAGCCCCAGGUCUGCGUGUGCCCAGCUCAGCUUUCCACUGGGGCUCCAGGGGGUGCCCCUCACUGGGGAAGGUGACUCAACCUAAUAGACCCUGCUUUGAUCGUUGAGGAACCGCAUACAUGGAAGUCCAGCAGCAGGGGUUUGAGAGCUGCAGGCAGGAAGCAGAGAGCUAGGGAGCAGUACAGUUGCACAGCCCUCAGCCAGACCUUGAGAAGGUGGGAGGUGAUGGAAGAAAGCUCUUCCAUGGAAGCUGUGUGUACUACAGGAGGACCUUGAGGUUAAUAAAUGUCACUCCACAUCAGCAUGGACCUCUUAGACAGGUAGGAGAGAUCUAAGUGGUCCCUUGGCCCUCUCAUUUCAAUAUCUACGACAUCACCUUGACCACCCCAGAACUCUCAUCUUCUGAAGUCCUGCCUUGUCUGUUGCCAUAGCUAGCUGUCUUAGUGGGCUCCUAUAACAAAAUGCCAUAGGCUGGAUG
rnacentral:lncRNA from 1 species